AGCGAGCUUGCCUAGAUGAAUUUGGUGCUUGCACCAGAUGAAACUAGAUACAAGCGAGCGGCGGACGGGUGAGUAACACGUGGGUAACCUGCCCAAGAGACUGGGAUAACACCUGGAAACAGAUGCUAAUACCGGAUAACAACACUAGACGCAUGUCUAGAGUUUAAAAGAUGGUUCUGCUAUCACUCUUGGAUGGACCUGCGGUGCAUUAGCUAGUUGGUAAGGUAACGGCUUACCAAGGCAAUGAUGCAUAGCCGAGUUGAGAGACUGAUCGGCCACAUUGGGACUGAGACACGGCCCAAACUCCUACGGGAGGCAGCAGUAGGGAAUCUUCCACAAUGGACGCAAGUCUGAUGGAGCAACGCCGCGUGAGUGAAGAAGGGUUUCGGCUCGUAAAGCUCUGUUGGUAGUGAAGAAAGAUAGAGGUAGUAACUGGCCUUUAUUUGACGGUAAUUACUUAGAAAGUCACGGCUAACUACGUGCCAGCAGCCGCGGUAAUACGUAGGUGGCAAGCGUUGUCCGGAUUUAUUGGGCGUAAAGCGAGUGCAGGCGGUUCAAUAAGUCUGAUGUGAAAGCCUUCGGCUCAACCGGAGAAUUGCAUCAGAAACUGUUGAACUUGAGUGCAGAAGAGGAGAGUGGAACUCCAUGUGUAGCGGUGGAAUGCGUAGAUAUAUGGAAGAACACCAGUGGCGA
rnacentral:rRNA from 1 species